rnacentral:tRNA from 1 species
GCCCCCGUAGCUCAGUGGAAAGAGCGUCCGGCUACGAACCGGAAGGCCGCGCGUUCGACUCGCGCCGGGGGCA